rnacentral:lncRNA from 1 species
AGACACCAGUUUGCUAUUCAAAGCCAUAACUGGGUCGCCCUGACGUCUACUGAAGCAUCUCUUGCUGCCCUAAACUGGCAACUGGGCUACAAAGAACCAUAUUAUCCUGCCUCAAUUUUCUAGUAUGAUUUUCUCUGUUGGUGUUCACACAGCCAUGUAGCAGCAAGAAAAGAGAACCAUCAGUAGCAGAACUGACUGAAUGAACAACUAAAUAAAUAAAUAAAUAAACAAUUCCCAUUUCUCAUUGAUGCCUCAUUUAUGAGCUGGCUUUCAAAAUAAGUGAAAACGGGUUUUCACCAAACAAUGUCCACAACUACUUGCAAUUUGAGGCUCAGAUCUGGGCUAUUAAUGGGGAAAAGAGAAAGAGACCACGCCAUGGCUGCAAAUAUCACGAAGCAACUGCAGUUCACCAAGCCAAGAUACGGGUCUGAUUGUCUUUAUCCUGAAGCCAGAUGAGCAAAUAUCAUACUGCCACUUUGAGAAAAUGGCUGCAUAAUUUCAAGAAAUUAGGAUACUUCGGAUUAAGCCUUAUUAACCAGAUUGAGGUCCAAGUACUACUACUACUAGCACUGUUAAUGCUUUGCUUAAAACUGGAGGCUCAGAUGUGUAUCUGGGGCAUUGAGUUUUCUGGCACCUGCCAUGGCUGCAACUCACAGAUAUUCAAGUUGCCAUGCCAAGAUACAGGCAACAAAAAUCUAAUGCACGAUUAUGUUUAGCUCAGCAUAGUGCAGACACUAUCAUCACAGCCCAAUUGUUUCCCUUUCCGAGUCCAUUGCUUUGGAACACAACCAGUGAGGACAAAGCUAAGAUGCUUGAAUUAAUAAGCACAAAUCCACAUGUACAAAUGCAGAAAUAUACAUAAACAAGGGUUCUCAGGUUUAGAGCAUAAAAAAAAUCAUUGGCAUGUUAAAGAUGGUCAUCCACAUCGAGAAUCCUUUGUGGUGGUGUAGUUGGUUAUCACGUCAUUCUUAACACAUAAAACUAAAGAAUACCAAUUCCAGAGUAAAUUACCAUUGAAAACUAUCAACGGUCGCAUAAAGAGGGUGUUAUUGAUCUCUCUCCGUCAAAGAAGGUCUCGUGUUCUAUUCCCAGGUUGUAAGGAAGGAAAUUUGGAAAAUGAGGCUCAGUCUCAAUUUUCUAUUGGGGUAAAGAUAAGGCAACCAUGCCAUGGAUGCAAAAUAACCAAUUGGAUUGUGAAAGAGAAGCCUAAAAUCACAGCCCUUGUUGGUGUUUGCCAAGCCAAGAUACAGGUCAGGAUGUCUCUAUGCCCAAAAGGAAAUGAGCACGGAAUUUAAAGUGGCCUCAAAAAAAGACCAUUUUUGUAAAUGCCGAUAAACAAUAAUCAUCACAGCCUCUUUCAGAUGAAGUUCACUCUUCCAUGGAUUUUAAGAAAUUGUAGAAAUUUUUGGACUAAAGAAUUCAAUAAUGCCUAAUGGCGAAGGCGCCAGAAUUUGCUGGGUUUCCUCGAGCUAAGGAAGAAUAAGAGGGUUGUUAGUUUUGUUAGUUAAGAAAUCAUAGGCCAAACAGAGGGGACACUGCCCUCCUAGAAGUCCCUUUUGCCCCAGUUGGCCUCAUCUUCCUUCUGGGCUCAAUCUCCAUUAUUACUUUUGUCGAGGAAAAAGCUUGUAGUUAUGCAACGUACUAAUAUCUAGAUUCUCUUUAGCCCUUCUUGCAGAGAUGUACCAUGCUAUUAUUUGUGGCUAUUUCGCUCGGAUUCAAAAACAUUGAAGGGUGUGUCGGAUACUCCAAAAAUAGUGUAUUUUCGGAGAAUCCAACAUGAGUGCAACGACAUUUUUGGAGAAUCCGAAGCAAUAGUAACAGCAGAAGCACAACGAGACAGAGGAAGAGCAAGAAGAAUAUAGAGGGGGUGUUUGGAAUUUGGAUGAAGUUUUUCAAUUUGCUUUCUUUUUGUUUAUUUGAGAAAGGGUUGUUGGGUUUUUUGGUCCAUUAAUGGAGAAGUCACUGGCACAGCAGAGAUUGGCAACCACCCUUCACAGAAAAUCCCAAUUUCUUCAACGCCUCAUUCUUCAAAGUUGCAAUUUCAAAGCAAACCAAAAAAAUGAUUUUCUACCCGAAUGGGUUAUUGAGGGCUCAGAUUUGCUGUAUUUGGACAAAGCAAAAGAGAAGAGCGACACCACCAUGGCUGCAGACACCAGUUAUCUAUUCAAAGCCCUAACCAGGUUGCCCUGCCAAGAUGCAGGUCGGAUAUUUUCUCAAUUUCCAUGAUUGAACAUAGCUCAGAAAGGAAGCAAUCAAUCAUUAUAGCCCCUUCAAAACAUUAUCAGCACAAAGAGAGGAGAAAGAGGAAGAGUAGUAUAGGGUGUGUUUGGUAUAAAGUUUUUAUUGUUGUUGUUGUUUAAUUCAAAGGGCUGUUGGGUUUUUUUGGUCCAUUUAUGGGGAAAUCACUGGCAACGCAGAGAUGGGCAACCACCCUUUACAGAAAUCCCAUUCUCUGACGCCUCAUUCUUCAGAGUUGAAAUUUCAUUGGAAAUCCGUAAUGGAUUUUCCGACCCGAAUGGGUUGGGGUAAAGGCUGCACAGACACCAUCUUCCCCCACACCACUUCCGGAUAUGUUGUUGUAGUAAUGGGUUAUUGAGGGCUCAGAUUUGCUGUACUUGAACAAGAGAAGAGUGACGCCGCCAUGGCUGCAGACACCAGUUUGCUCUUCAAAGCCUAACCAGGUCGCCAUGCCAAGAUACGGUAGGAUAUUUUCUCAAUUACCAUGAUUGAAUAUAACCCAGAAAAGAAGCAACAAUCAUCAUAGCCCCUUCACAACAUUAGCAGCACAAAGAGAGAAGAAAGAGGAAGAGCAAGAAGAGUAUAAGGUUGUGUUUGGUAUGAAGGUUUUUUGUUUUUUCUUGUUUAUUUCGAAGGGCUGUUGGUUUUUAUGGUCCAUUAACGGAGAAUUCACUGGCAUAGCAGAGAGGGGCAACCACCCUUUCAGAAAGUCCCAAUUUCUCAGAUGCCUCAUUCUUCUUCCUUUCUAGGCUAUGCUCAACUUAGCUUUUGUUUGCCAAGAACAAUAUCAUCACUGCCUCAAUUUCACAUUUUUCUAGUAUGAUUCUUGCUGUUUAGGUGUUCAUGCAGCCAUGCAGAAGCAAAAAAACGUGGGCUUACUACCAACACUGAAUGAAUGAAUAAUAAAUAAAAAGUUUGUGUUUCUCAUGAUGCCUCAUUGAGCUGGCUUUUAAAUAAGUGAAAUGGAUUUGGUUUCCACCAAACAAAUGUCUAGAACUACUUGCAAAUUUGUGGCUCAGAUCUGACCUAUUAAAGGGAGCAGAGAAAGAGAGCACGCCGCAGCUGCAAAAGUACCGGUUGCAUGUGAAAGAGAGGCCUUAAAUCACAUAGCAACUGGGGUUUGCCAAGGCAAGAUACGGGUCUGAUUGUCUUUAUUCCCAAAGCUCAGAUAAGCAAAUAUUAUCACUGCCGCUCCGAGAAAAUGGUUGCACAAUUUUCAAGAUAUUAGGAUAAUUUGAAUUAAGCUCAUAAAUCAGACAGAGGGCCCAAGUACUACUAUUACUAUGUUAAUGCUUUGCUCUCAGCUGGAGGCUCAGACUUGUAUCUGGAGCACUGGAAUUCCUGGAAACCUGCCAUGCCUACAAACAAAUACAGAUAUUCAAGUUGUCAUGCCAAGAUACAGGUUACAAAAAUCUAAUGCCUGUUGUAAUUUAGCUCCCUUUUUGAGAUCAUUGCUUUGGAACAGCCAGUGAAGACAAAUCACGACAACUGAGACAUAGACAUCUAAAUAUAUUUAUAUGCAGAAACAUUACAUAAAAGGUUGCCUGGUUUAGAGUGAAAAGAAAGCACCUGCAUGUCGAAGAUGCUUAUCCACUCUGAGAAUCAUCUGAUCCCCUAAAGCCUCAUUCAUUGAGCAGAAAUAAAGUUGUAGUUGGUUAUCACGUCAGUCUAACACAUAAAACUGAAGAACCCCAAAUCCAGAGAACGACCUUCAAUUGAAGACCCAAUCGAUGGUUGCACUAAAAUGAUGUUGUUAUCUCCUGUGAAAAGAAUUCCAGAGACUUACCACAUCAAGAGAAGGGAAAAUCCAACUUCUCUUUGAAACGAGGCAAAAUGAGUUUCCAUUAAAGAAGGUUGCGUGUUAGAUUACCAGGUCAGCGGGUCAUCAAAAGGAAAUUUAGAAAAUGAGGCUCAGAUCUCAGUUUCUGACGAGGCAAAGAGAAGACGACCAAGCCAUGGCUGCAAUCGAAUCAAUUGCAUGUGAAAGAGAAACCUCCAAUCACAGACCAUUCCGGUGUUUGCCAAGCCAAGAUACGGGCGGGAUGCCUCAAUGCCUGGAUGGAAAUGAGGAAAAAUUUAAAAUAGCGGUCCUAGAAAAUUGUCGUAAAUGGCCCAAUUAACAAGUAUCAGCACUGCCUCUUUCAGGAAAUGGCCUAAAUGACCCAUUUUCUCAAAGUUUGGUCAUUGGUGGCAUAUUUGAGUCUUCUCCUAUUAAAAAAUGAUUUAAUAAAUGAUAUGGCUGAAUACUAAUUGACCACGUGUAAUAAAUGGUUUUGCAAAACCAAAACUUUUUUCAAUUAACAUAGAAUGGCAUGGAUGAGCCUUUUCGUAAACGGAAAUGGCAGAGAUGAGCCAAACUUUUAAUGGAUAGCACAAAUGAGUCUUUUCUCAAAGUUCAAUGACAUAUUUGAUCCUUUUCCCUUUUUUAAAAAAGAGAAAGUUACCACACCAUGAUAAGCCCUAAUAAUAGUUUCCCAAUUGAUAAGACAAAGUGAGGCUCAGAUCAGUGUUAAGCUCGGGCAACAAGAGAGUCCAACAACAUCAUGGCUGCAACAACCACCAGAAAGUCUGGGAGCAUGCCCCGCCAAGAUACAGGCCGGAUGGUCUCAAAUGCCUGAUUAAUCAGCUCAGAAGGAUAUUAAAAAUUGACAAAAUCAUCAUUGCCUCUUUCAAGCCACGGGUUAUCCACAACAACACAGCUUCCAACACCAGCAUUCAAUGCUCCGGCAGAAGCAUUAGAGAAAAGAGAUGGCAUAGCAUGAAAGGGUAUAUAGAAACCAUUUGUAAUGAUAUGUAAACAACCAUCCAAACAAAUUGUUAAUAUUACUCCCUUCAUUAAAAUUGAUAAAAGGGUUGUUGGGGACUUGGCGUUCUUACAGUAAUGGAGAAAUCAUUGCCUGAUGCAGAGAGAGGCAACCACCCUUUCAAUGAAAAAUCCCAAAACUCUCUGUAGCCUCAUUCUUUCCCUUCGAAGCUUUUGCUUUGUUCAUUUAACUAAACCGAUGGAGAAAGUGAGGCUCAAAUCUUUGUCUUCCCUUUAGAAUGUCUCUUUCCUUUUUUGGCAACAUUUGACUUCUAACUUUCCACGUGACGCCUUUAAACCCACAAUAUUAAAAGGCAUCUAGGAACAUUCUACAUAUCUUAAGAUAAAGAUCUCCGGGUUGCCCCCGCUUAGAUACGGAUCCAAUUGCUCUACCGCACUAUUGAUUUGCUCAAAGGAAGAAGACAAUCUUCAUCACGGCUUCAGAAUUUUUUAAACAAUUAUUAUUAUAACUGGGUGUGAGAAUUUGGAGAGAACAAGCAAAGACUUAAGCGUCAUUUGGUCUCUGUUUAACUGCAACAAGAGCUGUUGAGUUUUUCUUUUUUCACAGCAACACUGAAAUCAAAAUCACAGUUAUUGCAGAGAGGAGCGACAGCCCUUUGAAGGGUUCCCCUCUACUCUCUCCAACCCUCAUUAUUCGUCUCUGAGCUAAGCUUUUUUUCCUUUAAAAGAGAAAUUCUCAUGUGUUUUUCGACCUGCGAAUUUCACAGCUGCAAUAACAACAACCCAGCGUUAUCUCACUCCUACCUUGUGGAGUUAACUAGAUUGUUUCCAAUACUGUACAAAUGAAACAUUGAGGCUCAGAUUUGUAAUACUUACAACAUGGCAAGAGAGACUGGAAUCACCGCCAGGGCUGCAAGCACCGGUUGCAAGGUAACCUGCCAUCCAGGUAGCCCGCCAAGAUAUGGGUCCAUUUCUUUCCUGUACUAUUGAUUUGCUCAGAGAAAGAAUAAAAUCAUCAUCAUAGCCUCAUAAUUUUCGCAACAACCAUUACUACUACUACUGAUUAUCCCUUUAAAGUUGAGAAAUUGGAGAGAACAAGCAUAUUGCUGUUUAACUGCAGAAGGGCUAUUAAAGAUUCUUUUUUUCACAACAAAAAUGAAAUCACAGGUAUUGCAGAGAGGAGCAACAGCCCUUUGAACUUUCCCUCUACUCUCCGCAACCCUCAUUUCCGUCUAUGACCUUUAACUUUUCUGGACUAAGCUUUAUUUCCUUUUAUGGGAAAUUUCACAGCUGCAUUUUAAAGAAAAACCAAUAAAGCUCAGAUCUGUAUUACUCACAAUACAGCAAAGAGAGCCUCAAAUCACCGCCAUGGCUGCAACCACCGGUUUCUAGGUCACCUUCUAUCCGGGUUGCCCCGCCAAGAUACGGGUCCGAAUGCUCUCCUGCACUAUCCAUUUGCUCAUCAGAGAAAAAAAAAACAGAGUACAUCAUCAUCACAGCCUCAGUUUUUCGCAACAAUUAUUAUUAUUAUUAUUAUUAUUAUUACUGUAUGAUUCUAGCAAAGGUGUCGUUAGGUCGGUAUUUAGCUGCAAAAAUGCUGCUGAAAUUAUCAUUUUUUCACAGCAAAAAUUGAAAUCACAGGCAUUGCAGAGAGGAAGCAGCACAGCCCUUUGAAGUUUUGUCUUCCACUCUCUGCAAAUCCUCAUUCUCUUUUCUCUGAGCUUUUUGGAUUUCUACUGUAACACCAUCUCCAACCAAAUCCUAUUUUAGUGUUGUGGACUUUCAACCCUUAUUAUGUUUUAUUACAUUUACACUAUUUAGACAUUGUAUCUGAGAUUAUAUUGUAUUAUUAAUUUAAAUAUAAUUAUUUUAUAUUUAUUAAUUAAUUAAAUUCAUCGUUAUAUAAAUAAUAAAAAAUCUAUUUUGCGUAACUAUCAUUUAUAUGAUAGUGUCUUUAUCUUAACAUUUUUUUUUAUUUUGUCUUUUACUUAUUAUUAAAAUAAUUUUAUUUUAUCGUUAUCAUAUAUUUUUAUAGCAAUUUAAUCUUGUACUCUAUAAUAUUUUUUUAAAUUUAUCAUUCAAAUUGUUUUAAAUAAUAAUAAAAAACAAUAUAAUUUAUUUAAAUAUUAUAUAAUAUAUAUUAAAAUAAUAUACUACAUUAUGAUACAAUACCAUGCAACAAAAUAAUAAGUAUUAAAUCAUGAUUCAUCUAUACUAUAUAUUUUUCACUUAUUAUUAUUAUUUGUAUUAUAUAAUAUUUUCAAAAAUAUAAAUAACAAUAUAAUAUUAAAAAGAGAAGAGUAUACUUAGAGACAAUAAAUAUUACUUUACUUUUUAGGGUAAAAUUUAAUGAAGAGAAUAGGAAGAUAAGCAACAUUACACCUUUAUUUGGAUGGUUAUAGUCUGAGAUAUUAUUAGUUUAAAUAUAAUAUUUAUUGAGAUUAUUAAUUUUAUAUUAUAUAACAUAAUAUAAUAUAAUAUAAUAUAUUAUAAAAUAAAUUCUUAUUCUUUUACCUUUUUUUUUGUGUGUUUUUAAAAAAAAUGAAAUAUUUCUUUUUCUUAUCACUUUAAUUUUAAUUUUUACAUGAAAUAUUUAACAUUACAAAGUUAAAAAUCGUUUUAAUAUAUUUGACAUAACUUUAAUUUAAAAUAACAAAAUUAAAUUUAUUUUUUUUUAAUCUUCAUUCCAAGUCAAAAGUCAUCCUUUUUUUUUUUUGAAGGAAGGUGGUAAUAAUCAUCUAAAAACAAAGUGGUCAUGGCUCGUGUGUGAUUGUUUUGAAAUUAGUUAUUUUGAAAUUGUUAUCCUACUUUUCAUAUGAAAUGUAAUAAUUAUUAUAGUUCCAAAGCAAUUUAUUUGCAAUUUGAUUUGAAUCCAACAUUUUGGUUAAGAAUUAACAGGUAAGUGAAGUGUUGAUUUAUUUCAAAGGUUAGACUUGUUGAUAUUUAUGGUUCAUAUUAACUAUAGUAGUUGUUCAGAUUAUAAGCAAAUUUUGGCUCGUGAUUUGCUAAGCCAAGUUAAUCUUCAUCAUCUCAACCCAGUUUUCUGGGAAUCCGAAGAGAUCACGGCCUCAAAUUUUAUGGAUUAAAAAUGAGAAAAUACAAACAAACAAAGACGAGUUUUGAAUGAAAUAUCAAUUUCCAGCAGAAGUUUUGUAUGAAUCCAAAAGUUAUUCAUUAUGAAUUUAGAGGCUCAGAUCUGCAAAAGAAAUCGAGGUAGAAGAGAGCCGACCACGCCAUGGCUGCAAAAUUUGCCAAGCCAAGAUACGGGUCGUAUAAUCUUCAUACCCGACCCGAUUAGCCCAGAAUCCAAAGAAAUCAUUAUCUUCAUCAUCGCCUCUCAUUAUUUGGAUAAAAAAAAACACAGAAGAAACAGAGUUUGUAACCAUAGUUGUUGAAGUUGAAGAAAAGGUUUAAUUUUCCAUGUUCAAUAAUUCAGUCAUUUCCCAGAAACACAUGCAUGUGUCCAAAAGGCUCAGAUCUGCAAAGAGAUCGGAACAAAGAGAGAGACGACCACGCCAUGGCUGCAAAAUUUGCCAAGCCAAGAUACGAGUCGCAUAAUCUCCAAGCCCGAUCCGGUUAGCCCAUCAUCAUCAUCAUCACAGCCUCAAUAGAUCAAACACCAACAAAGAGUGAGUAAUUAAUUAACAAAAAAGAGAAUGGCAUAGAUGUAGAAUUGGAAAGUUGAGGAAUAUAUGUAUGUUUGUUGUAUGUAUGUAUGUAUGGCAUGCAUGUUCCAAUAAUUCCCAGGAAAUUAACAUGAAUUCAAGGGUUGUUGCUUCAUCUCUAAAAGAAUCAUUCAUAGGCUAAACAAGAGAGGGGCAACCACCCUUGUUAAUAAAAUCCAAAAACUCUCUGUUUUGCCUCUUUUUUCUUUUCUGGGCUAACCUUUUCUUUGCUUCUUUUCCACCUUUAACUUUUGCCUUUUUUAUAACCCACUCUUGAAUAAAUUUAUCAUUUUUCUGUAUGUCUAAUGGAUAAUACUUUAUUUGAAAAUGUAAAAGCACAAACAACUUGUCAUUCUUAUCCAUUUCUCCUUGAAACAGAAUUUACGAAAAUAAAAAAAAUUUAAUAUCGUAAUUUCAAAUUAAAUUAUAUUAAAUAUAACAAAAUAUUCAUUAAUCUUAUAAUUUUGAACAUGCUACGUAAAAAUUAAAACUAAAAUAAGCAUCAUUUUUUUUAAAUGGAUAAAGUAUUUAAUUUAUAGCAUUAUUUAAAGUACUGAUGAAAAAUCUCUCACUUUGUAUAACAGUUAAUUUGAUAUAAUCAUUUUAUUAUUUUCUUCUCAAUUUAUCUCACUUAUUAUUUGGUAAAUUCUGUUUUCAUAGAAGCUCUAUGUCAUCACCUAUUUUCUUCAUUCGUUAUUGAUAUGUGAAAUUAUAUAACAAUAAAUAAUAUAAUUAUCUGGUUAUUGUAUUCAUUAUGUUAUACUUGCUUCGUUUAUUUUUAGUUGUUAUUUAUUUUUAAAAUAAAUUUUCAUUUUUAUUUAUUACUUUUGAUAUUUCAAGAAAAGGGAACAACUUUUUUUUGUGUUUUAAUCUCAACAUUAGAAAUAUAUUUUAUAAAAUUAUUUUUCAAAACAUUAUUAAAUCAAAAAUUAAAACUAAAGGAGAGAGCACUUAUUUCCAACAAUUUAUUGUGGUCUUGAGUGAACUCUUUAGAGGAUUACACCAAAAACUUCUUGAUUUUAUCAAAAAUUUGGUUCAAAUUUCAAGUAAAUGUCUGACUCAAUGGGGAAACCCAUUAAUAUUCUUGUUACUUUUUAGGUAAAGGGUAACUUUCGAGGUAGCAUUUCACUAUAAUUCGAUAUUUUCUUGAUCCAUUGUUUUGAUUUUUUAUUCCGUAUUCUCCGUUGUUUACUAUACUAUCGAUAUUUAUUCAUUUUAUAAAUAUCACCUUUUAAUCUCUCAUUUUACACUAUGCUUAGGUCAAUCAAUUCAUUAUCACUCAUUGAUAUUACUCAUAUUUGGUAAACAAUUCAUAGGAAGUGGACAUUUGAUUCAGUAAGUAGAAAGUGAAAUGCUCAACCAGUAAUGAGAUUUGCAUAUCCAUUUCUGAUGAAAGGAAAUGUAAAAUCAGUAGUAAAAAAUUUAGCUUUGAAAUUUAUAGAAAAUUGUAAAAUCAUUCAAAAUCAACAAGUCAAAAUUAUUCAUUUAAUUAGUUAAACAAUUUUGUUCUGAUGGUAAAUUUAUAAACCCAUCUUAGAGAUUAGAUUCCUAUUUUUAUUUAUACUAUUCUCAAACUUUGAAUUAUUUUCCAUCAUUAAAGAGUGAAUUAACCUGAAUCUGAAUGAUGUUAUUAGAGGCUCAGAUCUGCAAAAUCACUGUAUUAGUCCAGAACUCAAACAAAUCAUCAUCACUGCCUCUAUUGUUUAUGGAUCAAAGAUGAAACAAACACAGGUAUAAUUGGUACAUUUUUCCAAUUUCAACGAUGAAUCAAAAAGUUUGUAUAAUUAGAGGCUCAGAUGUGCAAAGAGAUCGAGGCAAAGAGAGAGGCGACCACGCCAUGGCUGCAAAAUCAGUGUGAUUUGCCAAGCCAAGAUACGGAUCAUAUAAUCUCAAUGCCUGAUGCGGUUAGCCCAGAAUCAUCAUCACUAUCAUCACUGCCUCAAUUGUUUGGAUCAAAGCUGAGAAAAUAAAACCAACAUAGAGAGAGUACAAAAACAGAAAGCCAGCCAGAAUAAUAAUUGCUAUAUAUAUAUAUAUAGUAGUAGUAGUACGUAUGUAUGUAUGUUUUCCUGGUUACAAUGAUUCAAUUAAUUUCCAGGAAAUUAAUAAGAAUCCAAGGGUUGUUGCUUCAUCUAUCUGGAAAAAAUCAUUGGUUAAACAAGAGAGGGGCAACCACCCUUGUAAUGAAAAUCCCAAAACUCUCUGUUUAGCCUUUCUGGGCUAACCUCUUCUUUGCCACUAUUUUCACUUGGCAGUUUUCUUGUGGUUUAUAUAACCCAAAAACUGUUCUAUGGAAGAAUCUAGAGGCAAUUUUUCAGACAUUUGGACCAAAUUUCAAGUAAAUGACUGACACCAUGUGGGACAUGUGUCCGUCAUUAAUAUUUUUCUCCCUCGUUGCUCAUUUUCCCAAAAGAGGUAAAUAAUUUCUUUAAUUUAACACUAGCACAAAGAGCAAAAAAUAAUCAAACCAAAACGGCAAUAUUUGAAUGGAAAAAAAAUGUUAGGUGUUGAUCACAAACUCGAUGACCAAGCACUUACGUGUUGAUUUCAUUGAAUCCUUCACCUGGACUCCAGUGUCUACAUCUUGUACAACUGCUUCCAAGGGACGAUCUCCCAGCCAAGGCAGCAACAAAGAGCAAAAAAUUUAGAAGAUAUGCACAAAGUUCAUUAAAACCAUGAGACAAAAAAAAAAAGUUUUAGACAGUACCAUUCAGCCAUGAUUCUUCCAACUUCAAGCUAAGUACUGCAAUGGAUGAGGAAGGCAACCACCAUCACAAAAAUCCCACAUUUCACUCAAAUGCCUCAUUCUUGAGCUAUUACGGAUAAAAGAUUGGCAACACAUUACGAGGGAACAGCAAUAUAACUUGUAUGCAAAAAGGUUCCAUAUACAAGCAAAAAAAAAAUAUACUUUCUUUAGCAAAAGGAGGCUCAGAUACAUGUAUGAUAAGGCAAAAGAGAAGUCAACCACGCCAUGGCUGCAAAACAUUGGUUGCGUGUGUGAGAAGAAAACUCUUAUCACAGGUAGCAUAAUGCCAGGUAGACACUUUUAGCGAUCACACCCAUACUGGAUUGCCACGCCAAGAUACGGAUUGGAUCGUCUCCAUGCCCAACUGGAUAGACCAGAGUUAAAAAAAGUUAUCAUCACUGCCUUUUUAUGAGUUUCCAAAGCCAUAAAGGACACAGACUGAAGAAACAAGGAAACUGAAGUAGUAUAGUUUUGUGUUUGGUUUUUGAGUAUGUAUAUCACAACAACAGGACCCAAAGAAACCAAGAAACUGAAGUGGAAUAUAUUUUCUCUUUUUUCUUUUCUUAAGGGCUGUUGGUUUGUUGAGAAGGGUAGAAUCAUAGGCAAAGUAGAGAGGGGCAACCACCCUUGAAAGAAAUCCCAUACUCUCUGCUGCCUCAUACUCGUCAUUCCUGCUAAAAGAAGGAAGUUCGUUUAGAUUAGAGCUUCUAACUGACGAGACGUCACAAGUCUGCAUUUAAGAGAAUUUAACUGCAAUAAUGUCCAAAUGCCUACUUAUGUUCUUCAACAAAUUGUGGCUCAGAUGUAUGUAAUGAUAUGGCAAAAGAGAAGCCAGUCUCGCCAUGGCUGCAAAACACCGACUGCAUGAGAGAAAGAGAGAAGUUCUCAACAGGCCAAACCGGGUUGCCACGCCAAGAUACGGGUCGGUUCAUCUCAAUGUUCCAUGAUCAGCCCAGAACUAGAAGAUACAUAAGCAUCAUCAUUAGCCCCUUUCUGUAGCAGAAUGCAUCGUAAUGGAACACUUUCCAGUUUUACACUAACAAUAAGAGAAAACGGGAAGAAAUAUGCAAAGAGCUAAGAGAAGAGAGACUGAAGAUCUGAAGGCGGCCUAAUUGUUGUGGUAAACUUGAAAAUUGGGGAAAUUUCAUCCAGAAAACCAGAGACUGAAGUACUAUGUUGCUCUUUUUUUCUCUUAAAGGCUGUUGGUUUGUUGAGAAGGGGAGAAUCAUAGGCAAAGCAGACAGGGGCAACCACCCUUGAAAGAAAUCCCAUACUCUCUCUGCAGCCUCAUUCUCUCUAUUUCUGGGCAAACCUAAUAGAUGGAAUUUGCUUGUAUGAGAGCUUAAAACGAGAAGACCUCAAUAUCUCCCACUUUGAUCAUGGAAAAGAUAUUGCCCCUUAUGCAUAGUAAAGGGGCAAAUUUGAUCAUUUUCCCUUUUUUUCUUUAGCAAAUUGAGGCUCAGAUUUGUGUAAUGACGAGGAAAAAGAGAAGCCAGCCAUGCCAUGGCUGCAACGCACGAUUGCAUGUGUGAGUUAUGCGUCUCAAUUACAGGCCAUACCGUGUUGUCAUGCCAAGGUACGGGUUGGGUACUCUCCAUGCCCGAAAUCUUGCUAGCCCAGAAAUCAUCACUGCCUCUUUAAUAGUUUUCAUAGUCAUUUUAUAGUUGUAGUAUAGUUGUGUAUACAUAUGUCUUAAGGGUGGUGCAAACUGCAAAUAAACCCAGAAACUCAAUUGUACUCUCUCUGUCUCUUUCUUUUGAAGGGCUGUUGGUUUGUUUUGAGAAAUGGAGAAUCAUAAGCAAAGCAUAGAGAGAAGGCCAACCACCCUUGAUAGAAAUCCCAUACUCUCUGCUGCCUCAUUCUUGCCUUUUAUAGGCUGACCUAACAAAAGGGAAUUCACAAGACUUCAAGCAUCUUUCGGCUAAUUCUUUCUCCUGAGGCUCAGAUUUGUUAUAAAACCAGAGAAAAGGAGACAAAGCAAUCGCCAUGGCUGGAGACCUCAGUUGUUAAGUGGAAUACCUUUACUGGGUAGCCCCGCCAAGAUACGUGCAGCUCCAAUGCCCAACCCAACUCUAUACAACUUCAUUUGUUAUUAUCACAGCCUCAUCCUAUAAUUAAAAGCUAGCAAGGGUACAUAGACCAUACCCCGAUCCUUUGUGGGGGACUAGAGAAGUUGUUUCCAACAGAGCUCAGCUCAAGAAAAUUACAGUCCAGAACCUAAAUGAUGGAAGAAAGAAAACAACAGAAACUAGUGUGUAAUUCAUCUCUCUCUUUCUCUAUUUUAAGGGCUGUUGGUUUGUUCAAAAAUGUAAGAAUCAUAGGCAAAGCAGAGAGAAGGGCAACCACCCUCUAAUAGAAAUCCCAUUACUGUCUCUGCUGCCUCAUUAGGGGCUAACCAAUCAAAAAGGGGCUCACAAGUAAUUACUUGCAAAAACGAAACAGGUCUUUUCCUUGAGGCUCAGAUCUGUGAGAUAAAAUCAAGCAAAAAGGAGACAAAAGCAACCACCAUGGCUGCAGAUCUCACUUUGCAAAACAAUGGAAAUGCCUUACCGGAUCGCCCAGCCAAGAUAUGUGCAAGCUCCAACAGGCCCGACCCAACACUAGACAACUUCAUUUGUCAUCAUCACAGCCUCAUAGGAAGGAGGAGACAGUAUACUUUAUAGCCCAACAGCACAUAAUAUAAGCCAGAAACCCAAAAACGCUCGAAAUACAUGUGAUUAGACCUUUUUCAACUAUGGUGGUUUUGGUGAAAUUUUGAAAAGGAAAUCAUCAGCGGAAGAACAGAGAGAGGACAACCACCAUUAAAGACUCCCCAAUGCCUCUCCGUUGCCUCGUUUGUUCGUCUAGAGUUGCAGAACACACUUACAUUAGGUCAUUUUUUGCCCAACUGCCUAAACAGUCUUUUAGCUUAAGAGGAAAAAAAUGUUUGAUUCUUCUUGCACAAACAACAAUCUUCAUUGACUCUAAAAAGUGGAACAGAGGGAGUAAUAAAUCAAUCAAUUAAGGGUGGUUUUGCAAUUGGAAACACUUCUAUUUGAAAGAUCAUUGGCAGCAGAGAAUGACAGAGAGGGGCAAAACCACCCAUGGAAACUCCCGACAGCUCUGUUUUAACCGCAACCUCAGAUUUAUACAAAGAUGAGUUCCCCAAAAAUGAGGCUCAGGUCUGUUACAUUCAGGGCAAAAAGAGAUCCAACGAUGCCAUGGCUGCAAAAAUCACCACAAAAUCUGGGGUUAUGCCCAGCCAAGAUAUGAGCCGGAUAAUCUCAAAUGUUCGAUUAAUAAGCUCAUAAGGAAAUGAAAGGUUGCUAAAAUCAUCAUUGCCUGUGUAAAUCCAUCAAUUAUACUAGCAUAACUUGUAUUUAAACCGAACGAAUCAAUAACAACUAGCUUGGAUGGUUAUUUCCCUAUUGUUACUUUAGAUAACGGGACCACAUAUUAUAGGUCUUCCAAAAAUAAAUUAUAUCGAUAUCAGUCAUUUUUUCCACUGGGCAGCAGAAAAUAUUAUUUGAGAAAGCAUAUUAAUUUAUAGAGUACCAAUUUAGAGAGGUUUUUACUGUAGUUUAUAUUCUCGGAGUCUUCCAAAUAGAGAGCAUCUUAGUAGUAAGUAUUUUAACUUCUCCUGAAAAGGGUAUGAAUUCAAUCUCCCACAUUUAUCAUGGAAUAUAUAUUGCCCCUUAUGCAUGGUGAAGUGGUAAAUUUGACCCUUUUCCCUAUUUUCUCAAGCAAAUUGAGACUCAGAUUUGUGUUCUGAUAAGGCAGAAGAGAAGUCAACCACGCCAUGGCUGCAACACACGAUUGCAUGAGCGAGUUAUGGGUCUCAAUUACAGGCCAUAUCGGGUUGCCACACCAAGAUACGCGGUGGGUAAUUUCCAUGCCCGAAAUUUAGAUAGCCCAGAAAUCAUCACUGUCUCUCUAAUAGUUUUCAUAGUCAUGCGGUUCUUUUAGUAUAGUUGUGGCAUUGCCUUGUGAAAGAAACCAUGAAACUCAAGUGUAUCACUGUCUCUUUCUUUUUUUAAGGGAAGUUGGUUUGUUUUGAGAAAUGGAGAAUCAUAGGCAAAGCAUAGAGAGAAGGGCAACCACCCUUGAUAAAAAUCCCAUACUCUCUAUUGCCUCAUUCUUGAUCUUGCCUUUUUUAGGCUAACCUAACAAAAGGUAAUUCACAAGACUUCAAGGUCUUUCAGCCUUUCUCCUGAGGCUCAGAUUCAUUAUAAAACUAGGCAAAAGGAGACAAACCAACCGCCAUGGCUGCAAAACAGAAUGCCUUUCUGGCUACCACACCAAGAUACGUGCAGCUCCAAUGCUCAACCCAACUCUGUACAACUUCAUUUGUUAUCAUCACAGCCUCAUCCUAUAAUUAAAAGCUAGCAAUGGUACCCUGGUCCUUUUUGGGGACUAGAGAAGUUUCCAAUAGACUCAGCUCAAUAAAAUCACCACGCAGAACCUAAAUGACUGGAAUAAAAAACAACAGAAACUAGUGUGAUCCAUCUUUUUCUCUUUUUCUAUUUUAAGGGCUGUUGGUUUGUUUAGAAAAUGGAAGAAUCAUAAGCAAAACAGAGAGAAGGGCAACACCCUUGAUUAGAAAUCCCGUAACUCUCUCUGCUGCCUCAUUCUGAGCUAAUCUAACAAAAAAGGGUUCACAAAUAAUUACUGAAAUGAUUUUUUCUUUUGAGACUCAGAUCUAUAAGAUAAAAUCAAGCACAAAGAGACAAAGCAAUCGCCAUGGCUGCAGACCUCAGUUUGCAAAACAAUGAAAAUGCCUUACCGGGUCGCCCCGCCAAGAUACGUGCAGCUGCAAUACCUGACCAAAAUCCAUUUGUCAUCAUUACAGCAUCAACAAGUGAAGAAGCAGAAGCAGUUUCCAAAAGGGUCUUUUUCUAUAGGUUCGGAUCUGCAACACAAGAUCGAGGGAAAAAGGAGACAAAGCAACCACCAUGGCUGCAGACCUCAGUUAGCAAAACAAUGGCUCCAAUAUGCCUGACCCAACUCUAGAAAACUUCAUUUGUCAUCAUUACAGCCUGAACAAGGAGUAGUAGUAUAGUGCGCCUAAAUUCAGUUAAUAUGGAGUAUAAUUUUAGCUAAACACCACACAAUUUAAGCCAAUCCAAACAAACCAUCAGCUGAAGAACAGCGAGAGGGCAACCACCAUUAAUAACUCCCCAAUGCCUCUCUCGUCGUCCAGAGUUUCAUUAACACAAACUUUGAUUUAGUACAUGUAGUAUCUUCCUGUUACAUUUCUACUUAGUCACAUUUCUAUUUUAAAAGUAUACCUAAUAAGUUUGAUAAUGCAUAUUUUCACUCUUAGAAUUCAUAGUUAGCAAAUAGAUAUAGCAAUUGUUCGGAGCUCAUUAAUAAUCAUCAGGUGUUGUAACUGAGAGCGUGUUUGUCUUUCUUUUGUUCAUAGUUUGAUAUUCUGAACAGUAAACAGAUAUCUUUUAUAAUGAGGUAGGAAGAAGGGGUGGAGUGUAGUAUGGUCAAGUGGCGGAAAUAUUGGAAGGAGACGAUCAACUUGAAAUAUUUUUUAUAAAACUUGUUUUCCCUACUUCCGUUAGAGAAUUGACUUGCUUCCAUUUUCUUUGAUAAAAUUAGCCUUGGUCACUACCUACAAGCUAUCUGUGUUCUUUGAUAAGAGAGCGAGUUGAGCUGAGGUUUUUACGGAUGAAGAACACCUGAAUCAGUAAGCUAGAGAGUAACAACUUGAAGAUUACUACACUAAGAACAGCUUGGUUCUAUUCAUCGGUUAAAUAACUUAGCAUGACAGCCUAGACACGACUAUUUACCGGUGAGCAAGGAACGAAUGCCACCAUUUCCAUGAUAACAUAAAACUAUUAACAUUCAUAUAUUGCUAAAAACUGCCCAUCACAAUGCUGCCUAAUUCAUAUUCUCCAGUGUUCUACUCUCGACGAAUUAUUCUCAGUUGAGUAAUCAACUAGGCUCAGAUAUGUCACGAAAUCGGGAAAAUGAAAGGGAUACCGCCAUAGCUGCAAACCAGAAUAGCAUACAACAACAAUCUAGUUGGAUAAGCUAAAUGAAUUCCUAAUAUCUCUUCCACUCAAUCACGUCCCAAUAGUCGUUGCACCAUUUAAAACACAGUUUAGUUAUCCUUACCAAGAUUUGGGUUUGAGCUGAGCAAAACCCGAUUAACUCAAUAAGCUCUAUAUCAUCACAGCCUACAGAUAAGCAGAAACAUAAGUAAUGAUGCUUACUUGCUGCAAACAGAGCUAGUAUUGACUGAGGAAAAAGGUACUGCAAAGCAAAUUGGACUUCAUUAAGGCUCAGAUAAGUAUAAUCGAGGCGAAGGAGACAAUGCACCCCCCAUGGCUGCAGACCUCAGUUGCACUACACAUAGGCCUACCGGGUUGCCAGGCCAAGAUACAGGUCCAGCUCCCUUGCCCCAUUAACUCCAAACACCUUAAUCUUAAUCAUCACAGCCUCUCAUCCGUAACAAAGUGGUAGGGUUGGAGAAGGUGAAAAUGACGACGACGAUGAAUGACGAUGAGUAAAACGAAGAACCAAAAGAGUCAGAUCUUAAACCUGAACCCUUCUUCCUGUAUAUUGUAUAUAUAUAGAGAGAGAGAGAGAUGAACAAUUAAUGUGUGUAUAUACACAUACUGCAGAAACUUCCGAGUUUAAGGCUCAGAUCUGUAUAAUCAGAGCAAAGGAGACAAUGCAUCCGCCAUGGCUGCAGACCUCGGUUUCACUGCCAAAAUGUCUACCGGGUUGCCCCGCCAAGAUACGGACCCUGCUCCUUUGACCCUAUGAACUCUAGACACCUUAAUCAUCAUAGCCUAUCUUCCCUUCCAUUACAACAACAAAAAUAAUAAUAAUAAUAAUAAUAACAACAACAACUUCAACCAUCGCGAAAACCCUUUUCAAGGAUUCACAGAUGAUGAUGAUGAUGAUGAGGAAAAAGAAGAAGAAGAAGAAACGGUAAAAGGGUCAAAUCUUAAACCCUAAACCUUCCUUCAAGUAUGAGAAUAUAUAUAUAUAUAUAGAUACAUAGAUGUACAUGUGUGUACACAUACACACUGCAAAAACUUGCGAUUUUUCAUCGGAAGUUUCAAUACAGCAGCAAAACCAAAGGACCCUUAAACAUAAAUGAUGGUUUGUUUGAAGUUUGCUUCGCGAAAAUGGAAAAAUCACCGGCAAACAGAGAGAGGGCAACCACCAUUAAAACUCCCCAAAUACCUCUCUGUUAGCCUCACUUUUUUUCU